GUGAAUUAGGUGACAUCGGUCCCCCAGGCCCUCCUAUCGUUAUUGACAGGGAAGGUGUAGUCAUUUCAGGUGCCCCGGGCGACCCUGGAAACCCGGGAAUACCUGGUUCUCCAGGAGAUGAAGGGAUCAGUGGUUUACCGGGUCUUCCAGGAGCUCCAGGGUUUCCAGCCCUUGAGAGAGAUGGAAUGGGCCCUGGAGGGUCUCCAGGUAUUCCAGGUGUGAAGGGUGAAGUGGGAGAACCCGGAAGAGCAACGAUUGGAUUACCAGGCACUCCUGGCAGAGAGGGUUUCCCAGGUCUGCCAGGAGCACCAGGAUUGCCUGGUGCACCACGCCCUUCAUUCCCUCCAGACACAAUCCUGGAUGGAAGGACUGGGGCCCCAGGGGAGCCUGGACAAAGAGGGCUGCCAGGAGCUUUGGGUCCAAAGGGGUACAAAGGAGAGGCAGGUGAUUGUGCUUGUGAUGGAGGAAUUACAAGAGCUGGUCUAAAAGGCAUCUCAGGUCUACCAGGUCCGUCGGGAAGCCCUGGUGUGCCUGGUAUUAAGGGCAUUGGUGGAGACCCAGGCACUGUGGGUGCACCAGGACUGCGAGGCCCUCCGG
rnacentral:lncRNA from 1 species